UACGAAGGGGGCUAGCGUUGUUCGGAUUUACUGGGCGUAAAGCGCACGUAGGCGGAUUGUUAAGUGAGAGGUGAAAUCCCGGAGCUCAACUCCGGAACUGCCUUUCAUACUGGCAGUCUAGAGUCCGGAAGAGGUGAGUGGAACUCCUAGUGUAGAGGUGGAAUUCGUAGAUAUUAGGAAGAACACCAGUGGCGAAGGCGGCUCACUGGUCCGGUACUGACGCUGAGGUGCGAAAGCGUGGGGAGCAAACAGGGAUUAAGA
rnacentral:rRNA from 1 species